rnacentral:lncRNA from 1 species
UGGUCUCCGCGGGAGGUGAGGAAACUGAAAGCCACCGAGGAAAAGGGGGGCGCUCCUUAAGAAGUGCCGCGGUCACGUGUACGUUUCAAAAGAAUGGCGUGACUGAGUAGGGAGGGGACCGCGGAGACCCUCAGACCCUGGACUGUAAGGAGAUGAGGGGCCGUGAAGGGGAACCCAGGAAACUGAGUCCUGAAAGCAAGGAGGAGC